rnacentral:rRNA from 1 species
GACGAACGCUGGCGGCGUGCUUAACACAUGCAAGUCGAACGGAAAGGCCCUGCUUUUGUGUGGUGCUCGAGUGGCGAACGGGUGAGUAACACGUGAGUAACCUGCCCUUGACUUUGGGAUAACUUCAGGAAACUGGGGCUAAUACCGGAUAGGAGCUCCUGCUGCAUGGUGGGGGUUGGACAGUUUCGGCGGUUGGGGAUGGACUCGCGGCUUAUCAGCUUGUUGGUGGGGUAGUGGCUUACCAAGGCUUUGACGGGUAGCCGGCCUGAGAGGGUGACCGGCCACAUUGGGACUGAGAUACGGCCCAGACUCCUACGGGAGGCAGCAGUGGGGAAUAUUGCACAAUGGGCGGAAGCCUGAUGCAGCAACGCCGCGUGCGGGAUGACGGCCUUCGGGUUGUAAACCGCUUUCGCCUGUGACGAAGCGUGAGUGACGGUAAUGGGUAAAGAAGCACCGGCUAACUACGUG